GAAAUGCGAUAAGUAAUGUGAAUUGCAGAAUUUAGUGAAUCAUCGAAUCUUUGAACGCACCUUGUGCUCCUUGGUAUUCCUUGGAGCAUGCCUGUUUGAGUAUCAUGAAAUCUUCAAAGUAAAUCUUUUGUUAACUCAAUUGGUUUCUACUUUGGUAUUGGAGGUCUUUGCAGCUUCACACCUGCUCCUCUUUGUUCAUUAGCUGGAUCUCAGUGUUAUGCUUGGUUCCACUCGGCGUGAUAAGUUAUCUAUCGCUGAGGACACUGUAAAAGGUGGCCAAGGUAAAUGCAGAUGAACCGCUUCUAAUAGUCCAUUGACUUGGACAAUACUUUUAUGAUCUGAUCUCAAAUCAGGUAGGACUACCCGCUGAACUUAAGC
rnacentral:misc_RNA from 1 species